rnacentral:lncRNA from 1 species
CUUAGAGCACGGCCAAUGGAGCAUCAAGCAAUUCAUCAGGAUUUAAUGGACACCGGGUUUAAUGAUUAUAGUGACUGCCUCGAACAGUGCACAAGAAUGGUGAUCCAUGGGCUUCCACGUGAUGAAACGAUUGUGCUCAGCAGCACAGAGCAUUAAAGCAGGCAAGGAGUGGGCUCACCUCCAUUUGGUGUUGCAUCAGGUUGGUUUAGGCCUCAGUGAUGGGCACUGGGGGCUGCUGCAGGGUGUUCUGUGUGUGACAACGUGGACAUUCAUUGUGGACAGCACAAAAGAUGGACUCAAUAUGGGUAUAUGCAGAUACACAGUGGAGCUGCCUUAGCACUGAAUGGACCAUAGUGUAUAUAAUGCCUGAGCAGAUAUUGAUUAUCAGUAUAUAAUUACUCCAGUUACAUGAAUAGGGAUAAAAAUAGGCCAUAGAAGUGAUAAAGACGUAUAGGAUAUUCUGGUAAGAAACAGCUGUCAACAGUGAGACCUCAAUAGACAGCAUGAAGGCAAGGUUCAUGUUUCUCAUGGACUGUCCUGCUGUAGGAAUACGUUUCCAUCACCUGAGAUGCUGCUAAGAUAUGUUAUUAUUUUUUUCAGAGGAAAGACAUUGAUGGAUGUGGACCAUCAUGGCAAUGGGAGGAGCUGGAGGUUGUGGGCUCUCACUGCAGUGCUGCCCCAGUGCCCAGCAGAGCACAGGAAGGAAGGUCCUGGCAGCUCACAACUCCAUACAAAGCCAAUCGCAGCAGGAAGUGCCCGCCGGGGCCUCGUGGGCAGCUUUAAGGCAUAUGUGGGAAAUGUACCUUGUAUCCCCUGCUGCAAUUUUAUAAGGUGCCAUAGGGAUCAUUUCCCACCUGCCCUGGCCCUCCAUGGGACUUGGAUCCUCGAUGCUGCAUCAGAAGAGGAAUCACAGGUUGCAGCUUGCAGGGCUGUGCCGACCUACAUGGCAAUGAGCACAGGGCUCCAUCACACUGCACAUCCCUCUAUGGGAAGGUGGAAUGUUCAUCUUCACCUUCUGCAGCCCAAGGGCUUCACUAUUGGUGAGCAACGUGCAUAACAAAUACAUUUAUGUAUUCGCUGCUAUCUCAUCUGUUUUCCAUUAGGAAUACACGUAAAGACACUCACCUAAAGUGAAGCGGAAGUAUCUGACACAUUUAUUUAUGGCAUCACGGGUGUUUCUUUUCAGAACAAGUUAUAAAAAACCUAAAAUUCAGAGGUCGUUUUUUUCUCUCUGCCUCACUGUAACAAACCCUAAAGGUCUUAAGGUUUAGUUUGCUACUACAGUUGCUCAUAAAUAAAGCUUGUUGGGAUAAAGCCCA